rnacentral:tRNA from 1 species
GCCCGGGUCGCGUAAUGGUAUCGCAACGGCCUGGAAAGCCGUGCCCUCCGGGGCAUCCAGGUUCGAUUCCUGGUCCGGGCG